CAAGUGGGAAGGCUGCCGCGAAGUAAGUAGACGGACGACAAGCUGCUCGAUUGGUAAAUCUGUUGCAAUAUGGUGUGAUAUCACUAGGAUAGGAAAGAAAUCUUUCCUGUAGGUUUCCAAUAUAACAACUCAUCGGAAGCAACAAAUCCUCUUUCAUUGAACCAAUAUAGAAUCACCUGAAGCAGGGGUUCCCAUCCUGGAGUGUCUGCACACCUUGAGGCUGCAAGAAGGCAUUUCAGAAGAUACAAAAAAAAAAUGAUUAAAUAUAUGAACUAGUUAUUACAAAACUGACUUUUUAAUCUUUCAAGAGGAUAUUACUUCAGUAGAUGGUGUGAAAAUGAAACAUUUCCUAGGAGUGCAGUGUGAAGAAAAACUGGAGACCACUGCUCUAUGGAUUGGUUCACUUGUACAAGAAGUAGCGACCAAAAUUCUUUAAAAUCACUGGCUACCAUCUUGGACAUCAAAGGACACAAUGGAUAAGGUUAGACAGAUAUUUAUUGAGACAGAUUUUUUACAGCUGGAUGCCCUUCCUGUUGCCAACACUCGCUUGUUUCUGAUAUUUCCCAAGAUACUGGAAAUGGACAACACUGCUUGUAUGACAGUGAUAAUUAGUUACAACUCUUACACAAUGUGAAGAUAAGGAAAUGUGGACCAUGAUGAUUUAUCUCAUGAUGUAAUGUAUGAUGUAGAGAUGACAUAUCCAGUACCUCAUGCUGCAGUGUAUGAGGCACGGAGAUGAAUUAUCUAUUAUAUGUACACACACAUACGCACACUUGUGCACAUGCAUACAUGCACACACACACACAUAUUUUGAAUAAAAUGACAGAUGGAAACACAAGUCAAAAUGCAUGUCAGUUUGUCCUUCAAAUAUGAUGAUGACCAAGC